rnacentral:rRNA from 1 species
UACGUAGGGGGCAAGCGUUGUCCGGAUUUAUUGGGCGUAAAGCGCACGCAGGCGGUCUGCCAAGUUCGGAGUGACAGUUCCCGGCUUAACUGGGAAAGGUCUUCGAAAACUGGUGGACUUGAGACUUUGAGGGGGAGACGGAAUUCCGGGUGGAGCGGUGAAAUGCGUAGAGAUCCGGAGGAACACCGAAGGCGAAGGCAGUCUCCUGGCAAGGUUCUGACGCUCAGGUGCGAAAGCUAGGGGAGCGAACAGG